UGCAGUCGAACGAUGAACCUCCUUCGGGAGGGGAUUAGUGGCGAACGGGUGAGUAACACGUGGGCAAUCUGCCCUGCACUCUGGGACAAGCCCUGGAAACGGGGUCUAAUACCGGAUACUGACCCGCUUGGGCAUCCGAGCGGUUCGAAAGCUCCGGCGGUGCAGGAUGAGCCCGCGGCCUAUCAGCUUGUUGGUGAGGUAAUGGCUCACCAAGGCGACGACGGGUAGCCGGCCUGAGAGGGCGACCGGCCACACUGGGACUGAGACACGGCCCAGACUCCUACGGGAGGCAGCAGUGGGGAAUAUUGCACAAUGGGCGAAAGCCUGAUGCAGCGACGCCGCGUGAGGGAUGACGGCCUUCGGGUUGUAAACCUCUUUCAGCAGGGAAGAAGCGAAAGUGACGGUACCUGCAGAAGAAGCGCCGGCUAACUACGUGCCAGAGCCCCGG
rnacentral:rRNA from 1 species